GUGGAGCUGAGAUCCCCUGUGCUGUACUAGGCGUUUUGCUGCAUUCACUUCUGCAGCAAGGCACGGAAGAGCAUUUGGCUUAAUCUUUUCUGAGCUGACAGUUUGCUAUUUGUGGCAUUUUCUCGGAUUACAUACUCUGUGUAGCUGACAGGAACUUGUGAUUUUCAGCAAGAGGAACGCAAGGAAAUGACACACAUCCCUGACAGUCUGAUAACGUGUCCAGAGUGGCCUAUUCCCAGAUCCCUGAAACAUGGAGCCUAGAGAGGCUGCCUCUGCUGGUGCCACCACCCGGGCACAAUUGUGCCUGGACUUGCUAUCCCAGCUUCCUAAAAUACUACUUCAUUUUUGUCCGAGUGCAGAUUUGCAGGACUAAACCCAAAGAGCUGAUCUUAUUUCAAGCCUGAAUUUUCUUUUUUCUGUGGAUUAGAAAUAGCACUGCUGAAAUUGCCCGGGUCUAAAAUUCAGCAGAGAGAAAAAAAAAAAAAAAGCCCCGUGUGUUGUGUUAUUUUCUGCUAUUUUUGAUUCCUGAGAUUUUUUCUGGAGCCUUCAAAUUUUGUGCAACUAUCGUGUCUCUUGGAAAAUUGUCCUGUCAGUCUAAAUUGUCUUGCAUUUGCUGUAAGCUCCCGAGGCUAAUUGCUGCGUAGUGGCACAGUUAGUCCUUAGCUGUCUGUGUCUCUGGGCUGAAGAAUGAUCGUGUGCGGGGCAGAUCCACCGUGGCUGACUGACUCCAAGCACGAGUUUGGCCUGGUUGGGCUUUACUCCUUCAGACACAGCACUGGCUCCCCUGUUCUGCUGGGGAUCCAACAUUCCUCCA
rnacentral:lncRNA from 1 species